UUUCCGUAGGUGAACCUGCGGAAGGAUCAUUCAUAAUAAAGUGUUUUAUGGCACUUUUUAAAAAUCCAUAUCCACCUUGUGUGCAAUGUUAGAUCUCGUCAAUCUUGGCGAGAUUUUUAUACAUCAACUCAUUCUUUAACUAAUUUGUCUGAAAAAUAUUAUGAAUACUUAAUUCAGAAUACAACUUUCAACAACGGAUCUCUUGGCUCUCACAUCGAUGAAGAACGCAGC
rnacentral:misc_RNA from 1 species